GUGCUCGCUUUGGCAGCACAUAUACUAAAAUUGGAAGGAUACAGAGAAGAUUAGCACAGCCCCUGUGCAAGGAUGACACACAAAUUCGUGAAGCAUUCCAUAUUAAA
ensembl:snRNA U6 U6 spliceosomal RNA